GUUGGCAACAGCAUUUGGCAUGCAUUGAACAAGUCUGGGCACUGGGCCUUACAGUCAUCAUAAAGAAGUGAGCUUCAGUUUCCAAGAAGAGAAGAAAGUAAAGAAGUGUAAUUGGUUGAAAAAGGUUCAGAAAAUCCCUACUUGAUCAAUAAGCCAUGCCCAAUUCUAAGACAGAGGUGUCCAAUAUAAAUGUAAACCACGUCAUCUACUUUCAGAUGGUCAUUGAUGGAUUACAUUACUUUCUGGGUAUCUUCUGACUGCUGUUCAACUUCAGAAACAAAAAGGAGCAAAGGAAAGCUGCCAAGUCCAUUUGCUUUGCGUGACUCCCCACUUCAGUCACACAAGAAAACGCCUUGCCUCUUCAACCUGGGCAGCCGAUGCCUGGAUUUUCUCUUCAUAUGUAUCCUUUCAAACUGAACUGUGGACUUGAGAGGAAACACGCCUAAUGUGCCAUGUGCUUCCUAUUUGUUGAAAGUAUCAACGCUGAAACUCUGUUGGCAUGCUAAAAUGUGAACAUUUUUACAGUGUAGCAGGUUAUGGAAGCUGCUCUUGAUAAAUUCCAUAAUGGCAUUUACACUCCAUGUGCUCCUUUCUGUGAAUGACAAAUUGCCCUAUUAGAUCUCUAAAGAAGCUCCCAAAAAGGGUGAUUCAGCACACAGAGAAAGUGGAACAUGUGUGUAAUUCAGUGUUUCUACGUUCCCCAGUAUGUUUGCAUGGGACUGUGAUGUUGCUCUCUCUGGUGUCACGAGAGCAAGAAAAAAUGUUCAAAAUAAGCUAGACACUCCUAAAUAGCAUCAAAAUCUCUGCUGAUGUUAACCUAAAAACAAACAUCAGGACAUGUUUACCUCUCCUCUUGACUGAUUUUAAAGCUGUAUGAAGAAGAAGCAGUUCGCCUGGAUUUUUUGUCUUAGUUGGGCCAUAGGAGAAAGAACCACGACAGACAGACUAGGGGUGGAUGAUGUAGCUUCUUGAAAAGUAGAGAUUAGAGCCUUAACAACUCGCCUCAGUAAGUACUAGAAGUCUUUGUGUUGAAAAUAGAGUAACCAAGUAAAAAUACUGACAUAUGUUCUGCAUUCUAAAGGUGCUUUUUGUAAGAACACAGUAGGACGUUAACUUAACUGUUAAGUGCUCCCUAAAACCAGCACAUAGAUCUCGUUGUAAAUACUAGAAACACUGUACCUGAUUUAGAAACAUUAACAAUAACCCAAAUAUUUCUCAAAUUAACACUAUGAACUUUCUCAGAUCUUUGUUUUGCGGUUUAUUCUUCGGUGUUCAAGGUGGAUGUACGGGAUUUAAUUUCAAGUCAUAACUUAAUGCCUUCACUUUAGAAAGAGGAGAAAAGUAAAGUUACAUGAGUUAAACGUUACAUAUGAUUUGGCAAAGUGCUUUCAGGAAUUCAAUAAAGGAAGAGUAUAAAAAAACCAAACCAAAGCCCCACACAGUUGCACAGAGUUAGUAGCAAGAACGAAUAGUGCAGUUAAGGUCUAAAAGUACACACUUUUCAGUCAGUCUUGGCUGGCGAAAUGUAGAAGCUUAAUGUGGAUUACACUAUUUGAAUCUUUCAACAUAAACAAAUACAAGAGAUGCAGUGUGUUUUUAUUUCAGAGGACUUUGCAUGCAAUCUCAAGAUAAAUGGGAGAGACUGACUGUGUUUGUACCUGUGCCAGACAUUGUCGUUAGAUAUUGCUGUUUUGUUUCAUCAGCCAGAUGAAUUUACCCAGGGACAUCGAUCAGAUACCUACAUUUAGAAGAACAUACUGUCAAAUUAGUGGAUAAAAAGAGCACAUUAUGAGAGAGAAAUCAUCUGGUGAAAGAUUUAAAGACUGACUCACUUGUGUUUUGUUUCAUUAAAUGUGAGGUAGUCCCCUUUCAUUUUCCAUUUAGCACGAACAUUCAUGGGACUCCAUUACAAUAUCAGCCUUAUAACAAACUAGCUGGCUAGGGAUAUGCAUGAGCCUCCUUGGAAAAAAUACAGCUUCCCACUUACAGAUUCUAGAUUACCUUAAAACUUGGGGCCUGGGCUAGGCAAAUCCAGUGGCCUUUGAGGAGACACCCCCUGGGUACUCCAGUAGGUCUCACGGAUGCAAAGUCACCUGAAGGGCUGCAGUAGCCUUCCCAGGUUGCUAGGUUGGUGGCUGCUUCUCCAAAGUGGAGGCCUUGGGACGGGAGCGGGUGGGGCUUCCAUUCCCCCAAAGGACACAGAAUGUGUUUUAAAUGGAGAAUCACAAAAAGCCCUGGGAAAACUAUCCAGGUGUUGUCUUUUUCCUCCUCCCUCUUAGACACUCUUGGAAGAUACGCUUGAUUAAUGGUUGGACUCGAUGAUCCAGUGGGUCCUUUCCAACCUGGUGAUUCUAUGACUCUAUGAUUUUUGCAUUCAGGGUCAAGGGAACAGUUUGUGGUGGUAAUGGGGAGGCAAGGAUCAGGCUGGAAAGGGGGUGUAUGCGAGUACACAGGAGUUAGGGGAGAUCCAGAUGAGUAGAAAAAAAAGAAAAAAUAGAUUAGAACCCCCCCCCACAUUUUAUGUAUUUUAAGUCUUAUUGGUAAUUUCUUUCUGUCUUAUUAUAAGCUAAACAGGAAAUACUUCUGUAUUCUACUUGAUACCUAUAUGGUAUCCAUCAAUGGAUAUCUACAUGUAUGUAUAUGACAAAUAAGGAUAAGGAUAUGAUAAAUGCAUACAUACAUAUGUACAUGUAUGCGUUUAUGUACAUGUAUGUAUUACAUACACACAUACAUACAUACGCAUGUAUGUAUUUAUGCACAUGCACAGAACCCAGUGGAUCCUGGAGCCCAUCUCCAUCUUGCACAGCAAGAACAGGCUGUUGCAGGCCCAGGGCAAGAAUUCUAUAAUGUCUGUGCCUUUUCAUAUCAGUGGGAAAUGCUGAGACACUUGCCUAAUGUGAGGAAGUCCCAAGGUGGUGUGCCUUGGGAGAACCAUCUGGCUAUAACUGAGGGUAUUUCCCACAAGUACUUGUCUGCUGCCCUCUAAAAAGCAAGACAUUAAUACUUUGAUGCAAUAACACAGCCAAAAAACACAGCCGGUCAUUGAGUGCUUUGGUUGCACGCUGGGGCCAUGUUAACCUUUAAGGCCUGUACCUUAGGUCUCUUGAAGCUAAGCAAGCAGGCAUGGAAAGGGUUCAUGGCUGUCUUUCACCCAGUAGAAACUGAGUGUUACUAAUAUUAUACUUAGUUCUAUUGGUCCUCAUUGUCAUUUGUAUGUUGGAGCACCAGUGUGUGCUCCUUGCUAUGGAGAGGUCCUGGCAAAUGGGCCACCCAGCAUGCUGAGCCUGAGCACCCCAAAUCUUGGUAGUACUCAGACAAUUGCUGUUCCAAAGUCAGACUUCAUGGCUCAAACUCACCCUUUAUAGAGAAAGUGCUCCAUAUAUAUUGUCAGCUUUGAAACCAAACACUUCAUACCUAGCUUAUACCAUAAAUCAAGUUUUGGUGCUGCUUUCUAGUCAGCUCCAUUACACAAGCGGUCUGAGAUCUAUCUUAGCUGAAAUGGUAUUUUUUUCAUGGACUGGGGAAUAAACAGGACUAUUUUAUUCAUUAAGUGAAAGGCUAUGAGACAUUAUGAGACAGGCAUAGGGAGUGCAGGUGCAGUAGCAAAUCCCCACCUGGCUGUCUCAGUACCUGGGCUUGGUGCCUGGAUUCCCUCAUGUUCAGAUCUGCAGCAGCUCCGCAACAUAUUAGAAUGCUCCAUAAAAGAUUUCAGUCCUCAUAUCCUAAAAAACAUUUCAAUAAAUGCAUGCAAGAUUUUGCCCUAGGUCUUUCGAGAGUGAAAAGGGCCAGUCCCCAAACCCACUGUACCACUCUUGGUCUCCAGAAAUGUUAAUUCAUCAUCAAAAUUAUUAAAAACUAAAUGGCUGAGAUGUAUUAUUACAAAGUUGAAGUAUUUCCUUUUAUUGUUUAAAAAUCUCUGUAUUAAUUUGUCAUCUAUUUUUUUUUUCCUUUUACAGUUUCGAAUGUUGCAUCUUACCAUAUGUGAAACAUUUCUUAAAGGUGUCAAAGUGACUUGUCAUGGGUUUGGAAUGAGAACUAAAUUAAAUGUCCAUACUGUAGCAUAGUUAUAUAAAUAAUGAGAUAUUCCAGUAUAAACCAUUGAUUUGGCAGUCAUUUCUACACCAGCAAGUACUAAGCGCUAUGGAAUUCCUGUCUAACUUUGACACAUACAGAGAAAAUCAGGAAGUAAAACGUGUGUGUUUAGGAUUUUAUAGGAAAAGACAGCCCCUUGUAGUACGUUGCCAUGAAAGUAUUUCUAGCUUUUUUGGAAACAGUGCAAAAGGUUUAACAAAACACUCUGGAUUCACAGCAGAAUGCCAGAAUAUUCAGCUGCCUCCCACUGCACUCCAAAACUUGUUUCCAUGAUUUAGAAACAGAAAGGGUGGAAAUUAAUAACAAAGUCAUUAAUGAGCACCAAGAAUGAUUUAUUAUAAUGAUAUAAUGUCACUGCUUUUUUUAAAAAAUAAGUUAA